rnacentral:misc_RNA from 1 species
GAUGAAGAACGUAGCGAAAUGCGAUACGUAAUGUGAAUUGCAGAAUUCAGUGAAUCAUCGAGUCUUUGAACGCACAUUGCGCCCUCUGGUAUUCCGGGGGGCAUGCCUGUCCGAGCGUCAUUGCUGCCCUCAAGCACGGCUUGUGUGUUGGGCCUCCGCCCACCUCCCGGGGGACGGGCCCGAAAGGCAGCGGCGGCACCGCGUCCGGUCCUCGAGCGUAUGGGGCUUCGUCACCCGCUCUUGUAGGCCCGGCCGGCGCUUGCCGACACAUCAAUCUUUUUUCCAGGUUGACCUCGGAUCAGGUAGGGAUACCCGCUGAACUUAAGCAUAUCAAUAAGCGGAGGA